rnacentral:rRNA from 1 species
UACGUAGGUGGCAAGCGUUGUCCGGAUUUAUUGGGUUUAAAGGGUGCGUAGGUGGGUAAGUAAGUCAGUGGUGAAAUCUUCGAGCUUAACUCGGAAACUGCCAUUGAUACUAUUUAUCUUGAAUACUUUGGAGGUAAGCGGAAUAUGUCAUGUAGCGGUGAAAUGCUUAGAUAUGACAUAGAACACCAAUUGCGAAGGCAGCUUACUACACAGUUAUUGACACUGAGGCACGAAAGCGUGGGGAUCAAACAGG